GGCUCCGUAGCGGAUGGUCCGCGUCUGCAUCUCGUGUAUGUGUACAAUAAUGGAGAUCAAUAUUGUGCAGAAGACGCCUGUUCGAAUCAGGCCGGAGCCU